CCACUGGCCAAUCGGCCCAAUCUAUAUCGCCACUUUAUGAAAAAAAAUCGCCCCACUCUUUUUUACCGACUCGCCCCACUUUUGAAAAAGUGUAAAAUCAAACUGAACAAUCACUGACAACUCACUUAUUAUCGAAAAGGGUUUAAACCCCACUGAAUAAAGGUCUGCCAACUCGCCCCACUUAUAAAAAUAUCUUGCUUCCUUUAAGUAUGUUAAAUUACGGACAGUUUGUAUCCAGUCGUCCUGGUGUAGUGGUUGUGUCGUGGCUUGAUAUGCUAAAGGUCUU
rnacentral:lncRNA from 1 species